rnacentral:tRNA from 1 species
GCUCAUCUAGCUCAGUUGGUAGAGCACUUCCUUGGUAAGGAAGAGGUUGGCGGUUCAAAUCCGCUGGUGAGCU